AUGCCGGUCAGAUUAGGAAAAGGCAGCACCCAUGUGUAUACUGAAAUACUAUACAGCCGCAGUAAAGGACGAGACUGUGUCAUUUUCAAGGGAAAGCAUCAUGUUAACAUCAUGGAGAGGCUCAGAGAGAUGCGUGUGCCAUGUUUCCCGUGCCGCAUGGGACGUGGAAGGCCUCCCCCAGGCGUGGCCAGGAAGCUCUUCCCAGACCGGAGCGGGGACAGGGAGGCCCGGGAGGAGCUGGUCGGGAUCCGUUGGACGCUGGGUGCCCGGCCGAGCACCCAGCCUGGCUCCCCACCACCCUGCAGCUUGGCCUUCGUCCCCAGGUUUGUUGGGCUCCGUGCUCUGUGCCCCCGCGUGCCACAGGUCAAGGAUAAAGUGAGCAGCGUGGAUGGAGUCGCCCACCAGGUGCCCUGGGAGGACUUCGCCCCCGGCAUCAGGAAAGGCGAGCUCGAGGACGUGUUGACGGUGGAGGAAGUGUCCUGAGCCUGUGAUGCGCGGCAGCGAGAGCCGGGAGAUUCAGGCUGCACCACGCACACACCUGGAGGCGUUGGGGCUCUGGCAUUUGGAGCAUUUCUGUGUUUUAUUUUUUAAAAUAUUCUUUUGCAAACGUGCCUGUGGCCUCAGGGACCCUCCCAUCUCUGCGAGUGUGGACACAGGACGCGGUCCAGCUGUCAAUCCCCGGCCCCUCCCUCUGGUUCUUCUCUCUCUGCUUCCUGGCCACCAUGAUGUGAGCGUCUUUCCUCCUCCGCCACUUUGGUCCACCAUGAUGUUCCUGCCUUGGAGCAGCCGACCACGGACUGAACCCCCUGAGACCACUGGAGCAGCUGACCAUGGACUGAACCCUCUGAGACCAUUGGAGCAACCGACCAUGGACUGAACCCUCUGAGACCACUGGAGCAGCUCAAUCUGUCUUCCUUUACAUUGUGCAUGUCAUUGAACCCUCUGAGACCACUGGAGCAGCUGACCAUGGACUUGAACCCUCUGAGACCAUUGGAGCAGCCGACCAUGGACUGAACCCUCUGAAACUGUGAUCCCGAAUCGAAAUUCUCUUCACCUUAGCUGUUACUUUUAGGUAUUUCGUCGCAGUGACGUCAAGCUGCCUAACACAUGUAUGUUCCCUGGUGCCUAAGGGUGGUCCUCCUUGGGGAGCCAGGGGGCCAGUGUCUCCCAUGUUGGCUUCCAUGUUGGUCUCCACCAACCAGAUUACGUAGAAGAAAGGGAAACGAGGACAUUCUUCACUCACUGAACCUGAGAAGAGCUCACAGAAUGCAGUCUGGUGAGACGCUGAGGGCAGCAGCUCCCAGGGCCGGGCAGCUGGAGGAGAGGAAGGAGGAGGAAGACUGUGUUGGUCAGCGGUGAGUCACAGGAAUGGACGCAUCUUGGAGGGCAGCGCUGGGGAUGGAGCGAGCCCUUUCUGUGACGUCUCCGUGCUCAACAAACCCGGAGCUGGAGACAGAAGAGCUUUCUGUUGCUGUCACCAAGAUGCCCAACACUCCCAGUUUAAAGAGGAGAGGUUUCCUGUGCUCAUGGUCUCGGGGGUUCCGUCCAUGGUCAGCUGCUCCAAGGCAGAAACAUCAUGGCGGGCGGGCGUGGGGAGGAAAGACGCUCACAGUGUGGUGGAAGGGGUCCAGCCAGAGGUCCUCCUUUCAUUACACCCUCAGAGUUUCUCCAACCACCUCCUCAGCACUGCACUGGCACCCACAACUGGAUCAGUCUGCUUAUCAAUACGGCACCGCCGUGAUGCCCUGACUCAUGAUCCAGUCCUGCUGGCCGUGGAGGUCGUCUGGGACGCGCGGGGACCUUUCCCCGCGUAAUGGUGUCUCGGGGAGCAGGAAGCUGGCCCCACGCUUGGCCUUCCUGGGUCAGGGUCACUUCCAGGCGUGCAGCGUGGACCCGGCCUGGCUGACCUGGAAGUCUAGGCUGUGCCCGGCCCACGGGGAGGGUCCAGCCCUGCGUGUCCUCCCCGAGGGCCAGUGAGUGCCUGGGGCUGUGCUGACCGGAAAGUCGCACACAGUGACACGGUCGGGGACCCUCCCGCAUGUGUGUCUGUGUGUGUGUGUGUGUGCGUGCGUGCGUGCACGCAUGUUCACACAAAUGGGCUGGGGCUCCCGACUCUCCCCUGCCAGUUUCAGUGCUGUGACCUCCAGAUUCACACGGAGGCUGGGUUUUUGGUGGGGAAGCAGGGGACACUGGCUGAGGAUGGGCAAGUCCACCCGCCUGUGACAAACUGGGGUGACGGCUUCUGUGUCCACACACCCGCCAUCUACUCACCCCCACUCUGGCUGCCUGUCCAGCUCGGUUCUGCCAAUGUCUCUCCUCAGUCGACCUGUCUAUCUGCCUGUCAGUCCACCCAUCCAUCCCCCCAUCCGUCCACCCAUCCAUCCCCCCAUCCGUCCACCCAUCCAUCCCCCCAUCCGUCCACCCAUCCAUCCCCCCAUCCGUCCACCCAUCCAUCCCCCCAUCCGUCCACCCAUCCAUCCCCCCAUCCGUCCACCCAUCCAUCCCCCCAUC
rnacentral:lncRNA from 1 species